CAGCUCCGAAAAAUAGAAAAAAGAAAAAAAAGAAGGUUUCUCUUCUAUCCCAUUGAGCUCUUGGAAGGAAUGUCAUGCAAGAAAAGAUAUAGUUGCAAAUUAACAGGCUUUGUCUACAAAACAUUCCAGAAGAGACAGGGUCACAAUGAAGCCAUGGGAACUGGCCAAGGACUGGCUCUAAGUGGGACUGAGGAGGAAUUACUCACUGUUUUCAAGGGGCAGUGUCAGCGAAGUAGAAGUCCAACCAAGGUCAUAGUGGAGGAUAUGCUGGAAAGGAAGGUUACAAGUGACACCGCAUGCUGAGCGUCUGUCUUCUUUCUAGUUAGUCCAGAUGUGUGGAUCAGCAAACUAUCCAGCAUCUAGAAGAGCUGUGCAUAUUGGGUGGGGGAGAAAAUUAUGCUGACAUGACUGAAAUUGAGAAGUCUUUUCAAAGCUGGAUAACAACCCAUUAUUUGUCUUAUGAAGCUUAAUAAAUUGUGCCAUGAAUGUUGAAGAACUUUCAAAUAAAUUCAACAAAUUUCAGUAUCAACGAUUAU